ensembl:lncRNA novel transcript
ACAGUGAAAGCACAAAACAUCAAGCCAACAGUUCAGGACUAGUCAUUCAAAUGGACUAAAGGUGGGGGAGAAAAAAUAAGAGUGGAUAAAAGAAAGAAAGAAAACAGAGAAAGGUGGGAAAAAAAAAACAAAGGAAGGAAGAGAGAAAAGAGAAUGAGAGGAAGAGAAGGAAGGGGAAAAACAAGAUUGACUUUACAGUAUGAGAUAUACUAUUAUAUAUUGUAGUAUGAUGCCUCUGGCUUCCCUCUAUCACACGUCUUCUUUUCGAGUAAAGGUUUUUCAUAAAUGUGAGCGUGGAAGAAGAAACCAGUUAAAUAUGGAACUUCACACCAGGACACAAAAGAUGGUGUCAGAAGCGGAUCCGAAGUGGAACUUUUAGUGACCCUCAGGAGCACUGAAUGAACAUGCAAGGAACCUGCAGGACCCACUUGUGUCCAUUGAUCUCUGGGAGCAGCUGGGAUAAGCUCCUUUUCGGAUUUCAGAGCUCCAUGGACUUGUGUCUUGAGAUCCCUGAGUUUCUUUGAGCAAAUUUCUGAUCCAAAAUGGGUUUGGCAUCAUGGCAGAAACAGGACUGGGUCCACGAAUGGAUUUGAUCCAGGAAUGAACUGGCUUGGAUCCAGUCAGAGGUCUCUUACAUCUGACUGGGUCAGAAAGGAACUGGUAGUAAGCAGUAAUAUUGCAGAGGUUAUAACAUUUGGCUUUUAAAAAAUAACAGGAAUUUUUGUGUUCUACCUCCUAUGUUAAAUUUUUCUUGUAUACUUAGGUAGAAAAAAGUCAUUGGCUAAGUUAAUCAAGAGAACCUGAGAGUAAAGCCAAUAUUUUAGGUAAAAAUGAGAUCCUUAAUUUCUGGGAAACUGAGUUCAUUCUGGUUUAUACUUUAAGCCUGGGAGGCAGCGAAGUCUUGCGGCAAAAUCUUACAAAAGAUAACUUACAGGGGAACGCUGCAAAUGAACAACAAUGCAUUGAAGUAAAUUUAAAAAUGAUGGUUCUCGGUAAAUUCCCAUUGGCUAAGAAUGGAUUUGGCACUUCGGGAUGUCAACUGCUAUUCUCUUUGGAAUAAUCUGUCUUGCACUCUUUGAUGACGACUAUGGGUGACAGGAUUAGGGAUUUACAGGAUCCUGGGACAUGGGGAGCUUAUUCCUCCCUAAAAGGGGAAACUUGAGAGAUGAGGAGACUGCUGGAAAAGAGCCCUUUGCUACCAAGAAGCAACCACCUGAACUUCUCAGUGUUGCUUCAAUGUGUGGGUCUUUCUCUGGCCUCCCUGAUCAUUUCGCCUUCCCCAACCUCCCACAGACUAUGCUUUCCUCUCUCUCCUUUCCCUUUCUUAUCUUUUCUCUUACUCAGAGGGACCAUCUUGCCCAGAGACCACGUGUUGAAACUCCUACUCAGAGGUUGGAUUAAAGAUGACAGGACCCAUCUGAGGGCAAAUUUAAGCCUUGCCAAUUUGAUAUUGGGUGCUAAGCAGAGUAGCUAAUAUCUAUGUUUUAUCACACGUAUUUUGCUCUGGCCAGACUGAAAAAAGAUAAUUUUUCUUUAUGAUGCAUCUUGGUCCCAGCAGGAUGGUGUGGCAAGCUGAGUCACUAAGGCUGCUCAGGGAAAGGGAACCCAGAAUCUUGGCAUGCCGGCAAAAGGCCCAUGGUUCACUGAGGACAACUCCUUUGCAAUCUAGAACCCAAAGAUUGGAUCUUCUGAGAACAUCAGAGAAAGACUGUCCUUGCCAUCCACACUACAGCAAAGCUUUGGAGCCUUGAACCUUGGGUUCAUGAUCUUACAACUGAGAAGGGCCCCUCCACACUCCUGAACUGUACAACCAUUGAAACUCUUAAGGUAAAAUUAACUAGGAAAGUUUAUCUCCUUAAGAAGAUGGCAUCCUUGAUGUGAACAGCUUUUCCCAAGAUCCUGGAUCAAAACGUCUACUAUCACGAGACUCUUAUAUUUGAAUAUAUUUUCCGGUUUAUGCCUUUAGGAACAAUUGAAAUGAAAGGGGGAUCUAUUAUGUGCACUUAUAGGGUAUACUUUUAUUUGUGAAGGAUUUUGCAUCCAGCCUUAUAUGAAUAACCUUGUACUUUAAUAGAUAAAAGAUGAAGGCUCAAUGUAGGUGAGAAAAUGUAGUGGUACAUAUGUUGCCUCAUAAUCAGUCAAAACUCUUCUUAACCCACAUAAUGGAUUAAAGAGAAUAUUGCCAGGAGGCCUUCGCUUUUCUAAAAUGACAUCAUUUGUUAGGUCCUUUUUCCAUAGUUUAGUAUAAAAGAGGCAAUAAUUAGAAAUGUCACCCUCAUAAUAGGCUCUACAGCAAAUUCUACUUUAAAGGCUAUUGUUACACAACAGACUUUAAAUUAUCUUGUAAAAGUUAUGCUAAAUAAUAGAAUUGGCCAAACAGAAAAGUACCUGUGCAGUUGCUGACACCUGUGGCCUAUGGAGAAAUACAUCAAAUGUAGAUUAUACAAUUUCAGUUGUAGGGGAUUAAUGAAAAGACCACCUAGUCAAGCAAGUAGGCUCUUCAUAUAGCUCAUUCUUUAAUCUAUUUAAUUUUACAUGGUUUGGUUUAUGGGGACCCUGGGUAAGGAGCACACUCCAAAUUUGUUAUUAUUCUCCCAGUACUCAUAAUGAUAGUCUCCCUGAUGUGCUAUAUUCUCUUAAAGGUUUUAAAUGUUUGCAUGCAGCCAUCUCUAGAACAUCAAAUGGUCUCUAUUCAACCAGAAUGACAAAAGCUGAAAGAAAUGUGUGACCCUGAGGAUAUCGUAACCUACGAAUGAUGUGCUGAGACUGGAAACCCUAAAUGAUGUUACUGAGAAUGGCACUAAGGCCUUAAGUUUUGGUCACACUGUCACCUAAGUGAGAACCUGGCUGAAAAGGGAGAAUUUUUAAACAACAAAAUUAGAGGAAGCCACUAUUUUGGACUGAGCUCAUGCACUAGGCCCCAACAAACGAAACCAAGCUAAAAUGGAGUCACUCAUCCUAAAUGUGACAUAAUCAAACCAAGGCUUUAAGAACACAGAUAGAUGCUAGAACAGACUACAUUUUGUUUUUCUCCUGUAAACAGGAUGUCUAUCAUAAGGAGGUACCGUCUACUCAGUCCUUAUUCUCUCCUUGCAAAACCCACUUUUCUACUGUUUCCCAGUGGGUUUCAAACCAUAUAAUACAUUUAUGAUAGUGAUAUUAACAUCAAUGACUAAGGUUUUGGUCAAUCUCUCAAAAUUGAGAAAAUGACCAAAAGAGGGAAAUGAUUGCUAAAGCAAACUAAAUAUGGCCUGGGAAGAACUCCAUAGUCUUAUAUUUGAGUUCUUGCAGAUGAACUGUAACUUAGCUUAAUAGUCAGACAAAACUGAAAACCUAACUUAAUAGUAUGCGUCUGUAACAAUGGCUGAGUGUUCGCUAAUCCCAGCGGCCAUACUUCAACCACUCAUAGACUGCUGAAAGUUCAAAGUGCAUUCAAAUAAGGCAAAAACGGAGCUUAACCAGCCUCACUGUUUCUGUAUCUCACUUCCGAUUCCUGUAUGUCACUUUACCUUUUUUGUCUAUAAAUGUGUUCUGACCACGAGGCACCCCAGGUCUCUGUGAAUCUGUUGUAAUUCUGGAGGUGCCUGAUUCGCCAAUCAUUCAUUGCUC